rnacentral:rRNA from 1 species
AUGUUGCCGCUCGUGGCUUGUCCUUGUUGCCAUGUCCGUGACACCAUUGUGCUCCGUUCGAAAUCUAUUGCCAACCCUGGACGGGUGUUCUACAAGUGCCCCAACCAUCGUGUUGGAACGAAUCCAUGCCAGCACUACUACUGGGAAGAUGGCCCAGAUAACUAUUUUGAUUUUCUGGUUAAGAAUGGCCACAUAUCUAUUGCAAGAACAGGAAGAUCUGGAGGUAUCUCUGGUCAUUCAUUGGGCGACAUAGAAAGUGAAGAGGCAGAGGAGGAGGAAGACAGAGGUGUUAAAGUCCAGAAGAUUUGCAAUGGUGUGAUGAUUGAUGUUGUGAAGAAGCUGGAUGAGCUGAUCUGCUUAGUUAGGAUGUCCUUGUUUUGUAUUGUCACUUUGUUGGCUGUGAUGAUUUAUGUAGUGGCUCUGAAAUGA